AUGCCAUGAUGUGGGCAUGCUGCAAUGUAUUUAUUAAGACGUUCCCAAGCUUCCAGGACUAUUUCAUCCUGGAGUUGUUGAAAACUGGUAAUCCUGUUUCGAAGGGC